GAAAAAAUAGAAAUAAAUUUAAUAUUAACAAGAGAAUGGAUACAUAAACACUGGGUAUGUUCUUUAAGUGGAACACAAUAUAGUAAUGAAAAUCAAUUAACAAGAGCCACAUAUUUCGUGAACAUGGAUAAAGCUCACAGGUUGAGUGAAAAAAGCAAGCUGCAGAAGAGUACAGAAUGCUAUUAUUUGUAUUUGCAAAACCAUACUACAUAUUGUUUAGGGAUGCACACAGACGGAAGUAUGAAAAUAUGCAUGGGGACUAAUUGCAGAGUUUAGGGAAGGGCUCACUUCCCAGGAAGAGGCAGGAGGGAAGGAAUACGACUUGGGAGGGUACAAAAUGGAGCGUCCUCUGCAUUUGUAACGCUUAACAUUUCUUAAGCCGGUUGCUGUGAACUCGGAUUUUUGUUCUUUUCGUAAGUCAGAAUUAUUUCAUAAGAAGUCAAAUUCUGUGUGUUUGAAGACUUUUAAUCCGAUUGAUCAAUCAUUAUGGCACUACCUGUGAGCCCCCACAACCUCCACUUUUUGUUUCCUUGGUGGAGCACCUUGGCCCAGCCCCCCAGCAGGUAGGGCCUCAGCACACACAUGUGCAGGUUCUGUAUUUACAAGAGUGUCUGGGCGAGGCAGGGAGUGAGUGGGACCAAAGUCCAGUUUGUCCGCCAGUCAACAAGCCCUUUGCCCUUUGCAAAAAAAGCCCCGAGGUGAGCACCACCCGAAGGGGUUCCUUCUUCAUUACCUGAGAGCGCCCUGCAGUGUCUGUAGAGGCACUGCAGCCGGCCCACUUCCUCUCACCCACCCUGUGGAUGCCACAAAUUUACUCGUCCACAGCCAUGGAAAACUAGAAGGAGGAACCCGUCUGGAGGCAGAGUCUCUGUUAAGUUUAUUUUUUGCUAGCCACCAAAUUUUUUUCAUCCCGAUAUUUUCCUGGGUCCUUAUGGCUUACGUAAGAGCUGAUUAUUUUUCUCUAGCUAUCUGGGCUAGUAUCUUAAAAAUUAGGGGGUUUUUUUUGGUUUUUUGUUUUGCUUUCUUGGGACAUCUUAUCCAAAAAGUGAAGACUAAUUGACCAAUUUAUCUUUAAUGCAAAGUACAUAUAAUAUAGCAACUAUAAGAAAUACUAACACUUUAACAGAUCUUAUCUCUUUUCUUCCCUACUCAAGUCCUUUGUUCCUGGUAUUUUGUCUUGGACAAGCUGCAAAUUUGAAUCCUCCUUUCUUACCUUCUUCAUCUGAUAGAUAACAGGAAGGUAUUCUUCAAUAAAAUCUACAUCUCUCCUUUCUCCAAAUCUGAAGCUCUCCUUUCACCUAAGUUGCCGGCCCUAAGAUCUUAUUCCUUGGAAGCAAAGAAUAAAGUUCUCCAAGUAUGGUUCACGGGCCAACUGUAUCACUUUCACAUCAUGUGCAUCAAAAUGCUGAUUCCUGGGUUCCACCCGGGCCUAUUCAAUCACUUCGCAUUUUUAAUCAAGCUUUGCAUGUGAUUCUUACGCUUACUAAAGUUUAAAAACCACUACUUUAUAACAAAGGAAAUGAGUUAUUUGGGCAAAAUAAAAUCAAUCAAUAUAACAUAUAAUUGUUAUUUAAAAACAUCAGAAGAAAGUGAUAUCUUGGCAAGAGAAAUUGUCAUCUUUCAGUGUUGUUCUGAAAGAGAGGUCUCAAAGGAACCAAUUAAAGACAUCAAAUUUACAAUUUUUCCUCACUUCACUUGCUCAUGAGAGUUGCCAGGAAAUAAUGGAAAUUAUUUAGACA
ensembl:lncRNA